rnacentral:rRNA from 1 species
UACGAAGGGGACUAGCGUUGUUCGGAAUCACUGGGCGUAAAGCGCACGUAGGCGGAUCUUUAAGUCAGGGGUGAAAUCCCAAGGCUCAACCUUGGAACUGCCUUUGAUACUGGGGAUCUCGAGUCCGGAAGAGGUGAGUGGAACUGCGAGUGUAGAGGUGAAAUUCGUAGAUAUUCGCAAGAACACCAGUGGCGAAGGCGGCUCACUGGUCCGGUACUGACGCUGAGGUGCGAAAGCGUGGGGAGCAAACAGG